rnacentral:lncRNA from 1 species
GUGCGACGGCACUUUGCACGACGAAGGAAUGCGUCACGCAAAGCUGAUUUGCGCGACGUAAGUGCACCUUCGUCGCGCAAAACAUACUUUGCGCAACGUUUUAUGUUUAGCGUCGCGCAAACAUACUUUGCGCUACGAAAUUUCCUACAUCGCGCAAAUUUCUGUCGCGCAAACAUGUUUUUCUACUAGUGAUCAUAAGACCACUUUGGCUAUGUCAAUGUCGGUUUGGUCGUUCGUUCACAACUCCAUUGCCUUCCCAAUCUAGACGAACUGAAAAAGGUUAACAAAAUUGGAAAGGACCAAUGGUGUAAUUUAAGUUGAAUUUCAGGACGGGAGUAAUUAUUAUUUAAGUUUAGGCACCAAAAUGUAACUCGUGUUGUAGUUAUGAGCAUUAUUCUUCGUUACACCGACCUUGUUCAAUCCUAUGGUAAGAAAACAUAAUAAAUUUAUAGAAAAGAGAUUCCUUUAAUUUAUAGAAAAUUAUAUAUUAAUCUUUUAAAUACGAUGAAGUUUAGAUUAAUGUAGGUUACAAAAUUCAAAAUUGAGUUUAGUCCCUUGGUUUUAUUUAAUGUUAGCAUUGUUAUUCCAUGUCAUUU